AACCUAUGGUGAGGGCAUCUUCUCAAAAAAUCCUUAUACCUCUCCCAUGCAUUAUAUAGGGUCUUUAAAUCCAUUUGCACGAAGGAAGAGGUAUCAUUAAUCAAUUU
rfam:Gossypium hirsutum cultivar TM-1 chromosome 9, whole genome shotgun sequence